rnacentral:rRNA from 1 species
AUGGAAGCAGCAGCUCCGUCCGCCGCACUGAGGGUCUACGGGCCGAGCAACUUCAGGGACGACGAGCUCGUCUUCAACAGCGGGGAGAUAGGGAGGCUAGAGUCGGAGCUUCGCGCCAAGAUCGAGAGCUGCUACGGGCGGGUGAGGCAGCUCCCCGGGGUCCUCGACGCCGGCUUCUGCUUCGGCCUCCUGGACCCCGUUUCCAACAUCGUCGCCGGCGCCUCCAUCGCCCGCGCCGCCGUCGAAGCCAAGGAGGAGGAGGAGGAGGAGGAGCGUUCUCUCCCGGGGGCGCGGCUGGGCGAGCCAGAUCUGAUCGGGGACAUGAACCGGCGGUCGUUCCACGGCCUCGUCGACUUCCUGACCGCCCUCUUCCCGCACCUCACCAACGCCAUGGCCCGGCUGGAUCCCCUCGUCGCCGCCCUCCUCAUCGUCAAGCGCCGCGGCAUGGAGCGGAGCUUCGGCUUCGCGUCCGACACCACCGCGGCCGCCGUCGAGACUGCCCUCAGAUGCGCCGCGGCCUCCGCCCAGCACCCCAAUCCCAGCCAGUUCGCGCUAGGGUGGAAGUUGCUUUCGCAUUCCGAACUCAACAAUGUCGCCGCCGUGCUGCCAUCGUCGGCCAACUCCGAUUACUCUGACGAGUCCUUUGCCGCUGCCAUUGCCAUGGUAGAUGAUGUUCUGCUCAAGAAACAGCCUCAGCCCACCUCAGUUUUAAGCCUGGAGAAAUCAUGGGAGCUUGCCUCUGCUCGCCUCCGCAACCUCGGUCCAGACCUGUCUCCCAUCGUCUUAGAGAAGAAGGUGUUUCUUGAGCGGGCAGCCGUCUGGCGUAUGCUCCUCACCACCAUCCAUGGAUACUAUCUUCAGGCACUGGCCAGGCUGCCCAAGGACAAGCUGCAGUCUCACUACCACCACAGCUUGCUUCAGGCCGGGCACUGCUACGGCCCGCUGGAUCCUGUCGGCAACAUCAUCCUCAACACCAUCUGGUAUAGCCGAGCCUACCCUCCAGCGAAGAAUGUCGAGAUAUCGGCGAUCAGCACCAGAGGCCUUCUGCGGAUCGCUGUCCGGUCCUUAUAUGGUCUUGUCUCCUUUCUCUGCACCCGGUGUGCCGCGACACACCUCACGCCUGAUGAAGCAAUUCGACGACUGCAGGCUGUCGCUGCUGAUCUCCGACUCGCUGAUCCCAACCUCCUCCUUGAUGAUGAUAAGAACGAUGAUGAUAUGGUGGUAUCUGCCACUGUCGAACAAGCCUACACUGCUGCGGCUGCAGCGGCUCGACACCCUGAGCCUCAUCACCAGGUAGAGCUUCUCAGGCCAUGUAAUUCAGUGUUGCGGAUGGCCUCCGACCGUCUCAAAGGUGAUGCCAUGCUCCCCCAUGAGGAUGCUGAGCACCUCUCUGAAUCCAUGAGGAUGCUGAGCAUGUUAUUAUCAGAACACCAGCAGCAGCCAGAAACAAAGAUCAAGGUUCUAGACCGGUGGGCACACAUAAGGGUGCAACAUCGGAUUAACAAGUUCUGGGACCAGCAUGCUAGGCUCGUCGGAAUGGCGAAAUCUGCAAUGGACUCAUACAGCAAUGAACUUGGGGUACCCAGUUACAAGCUCCAUGUUAUCUGCGGUGCCAAUGAGUAUGUUGAUGGUCCUGUGUGCACAAGGCCUGGCAAAGGCUACUACCGUUGCUCCCACAUCAACUUCCUUGCUGCCCAAUCUGCUGCUACACCUCCGACGCUCUUCUUUGCUGAAUGUGCCAAUGAUGGCACAGAGGUACGCUUGUGCUGCCCUGUGCGUGUGCUGCCUCCAGGCACUGAACAAGUCCGUUGCAUGUACUGUGAGUACCAUGGGUGUAGGAUUGUACACCCAACAAGGGAGAGUUUCCGUGGGCGCGACAUUGAGUUUGAGAAGAUGCUGUGUGGAGUGUAUUCACAGUCAUUCACCAACAAUGGGAUCAUCGCACACAGCCGCGAGGUAAGUGGCUGUGUUGGUGCUGUGGUUGACGACUGCAUCUACGACGUCUACCGACUUGACGAUACACCUAUAAAGGCAGAGGACUUUGUACGCAUGUCAGAUGCUAAUGUGGUGUUUGACUGA